AUUCAGAGGCAUUGUUCAAGCAUGCUGCUUACAUAGUAAAUGAUCAGUCCGCGACAACCUUGGGUCUGGAAUCGCAAUGGUCAGCCACGUUGUCCCCAGAGUUUAGAGAUAGAUAUGCUCACAAAAAUUGCAGCCGUACUCAAUAAGAGUUUCCUGGAAGAGUUCAAUGAGCUAGAACGUGUGACUGUGCCUCUCACCCAGGAGCGAUCUCACCAUCAAUCAGAGAACACGAGUUGAAUCUGAUUUGGAACCAGAACAACGAUUGCCUCUCAUCUGGACUAAAGACUGGCCUAGGAUGGCUCUCCUGACCUCAGAGCCAAGUCACAGGCAAAACAGAAUUUGACUUAUCCACCUUCCCCUUGAUUGACCCAAACCCAACCAAAACCGUCCUUUCGAGAGCAUUUCAUCGUUAGCCAGUCAGCUUCCCCGAUUCACGGCCAACUGUUGUUUAUAGUGUUGGUUCCAAAUGCCAGGCAGCACUGCACCGAGGACAUGGGCAGAACUUCA
rnacentral:lncRNA from 1 species